GUCUGGGUUUGUGCGCUGUGGAAGCUCAGAACUGGGCCCGUGCCCUGUGCUCUCGGCAGCCACCCCAUGAGGACCCUUCCUCGUCGUGCCGGUGGUUGCGCUGGGAGCAGCAGCGCCGCUGGGACCACGCUGGAGCCGGGAUCUCCAGAGGAAGCAGCCACCAAGCGCUGGAGUCUCGACGCCUCCAUCCUUCAGGCACCUCCGACGGCCGCAGCCGGGGGCUGGUGCGGAGCGAGGCGGAGGCCGGCUGCUGCUCGGGUCAGCUCGGGAAGACUCGCCGCGUCCCGCGGGCAGCAGCCGCGGUGACACCCGUAGGACCGGAGCGCUGCCGGUGCUCCGCGCGCCGACAGAGCGCGGCAGGGACCGGGGCGGGCUCUUCCCGCCCCCGGCGUGAGGCCAAGCCCCGCCCCGCCGGGCGUGCCGCGGUGACGUCAGCGGCCCGCUCCGCCGCAGCGCCAGCGCAGGCCGUGCUGCCACCGGAGCCGCUCAGCCGGCACCCGCGCCCCGGCCCGGCCUCGCCGCCCUGGCCGCCAUGCCCUCGGACCGGCCCUUCAAGCAGCGCCGCACCUUCGCGGAUCGUUGUAAAGAAGUGCAGCAGAUCCGAGAGCAGCAUCCCAACAAAAUCCCGGUCAUCAUCGAACGCUAUAAAGGGGAGAAACAGCUGCCAGUGUUGGACAAGACCAAGUUCCUUGUCCCAGACCAUGUCAACAUGAGUGAAUUGGUCAAAAUAAUCCGGCGUCGCUUGCAGCUGAAUCCCACCCAGGCUUUCUUCCUGCUGGUGAACCAGCACAGCAUGGUGAGCGUGUCUACCCCCAUCUCGGAGAUCUACGAGCAGGAGAAGGAUGAGGACGGCUUCCUCUACAUGGUCUAUGCUUCCCAGGAGACCUUUGGCUACUGAAGCCUGUUGAGAGGUGGCAUGUGGAGACGGAUGAACUGUGGCACACAGGCCCCCGGCCUUGGAAGACGACACAACCAGAGGCUGGCAAGAGGAGGACUGUGCUGAGUCCCUUUCUCUCCCUCCCUCCCUCCCUCCCUCCCUCCCUAUCUAUCACCUUUUCACCAAGGAGGCUCGUGGCAUGUGUUGGACUCACACAACCCUUCACCUCUGUGUAGAUCAGCCCCGCUCCCUCCACACACAUGCACCCACGUGCAGACACCUGUGUGUGCACACGUGGGGCCUCGGCUUCCCAUCACGUCCCCUCGGUGUAACCUGCAGCUGCUCUCACUGUGCUCUGUGUGUGUGUGUGCGUGUUCGUAGCCUGCUGCCAAGACAGCUCAGCCAGGGAUGGAGAGAGGACAGGACACUGUCCCCUUGGCUUCCAGCACAGGGAGAGGAGCUGCCUCCCCUCCAAGACACUAAUGAAGGGCAGGAGGUCUGCAAAAGCAGCAGAAGAUGUUCCCAUUGCUCCCCAGUUUUAAUUGAUUUAAUUACACCCAUAUCAGAUUCUUGGUGCUACUGAGUAGAUGUAGGCGUCUCUAUAGGACUGUGGAUAAUGUAUAUCCUUUAGAUUUAUUUUAUUGUUUUUUCGUUUGUGGUUUGGUUUUGGGGUUUUUUUAGGGAUAGAUUGGAAUGGGGAGAGGGGGUAAUCUUUCCUGUAUUCUGUAGGUAAAUAAAUCAGGCUUCAUUGCACUUUAAAGCAUAGUAGAUGUCAGAGUGGAACUUACUUUUAAUUUAUACAGGUUUGCCAUAUAUAGUGCUGCUCCUCUGUUGACAGUUGUACCUAGAUUGUCUUUGGGGUUUUGUUUUGUUUUUAAUAAAACUGAUUUCCCUUCUCUCUGUCUCCCCACUGCAUGCAAUUUUUAGUCUCUGUGUGGCAAAGAGUUCAUUCAAGGAAUGUACUGAUUUAUAUUUGCUAUGUUCCCAUUCCUGUUUCUCAUGUAUUAUACCAAAAAAAUGUAUAUGAUAAAAUCCCACCCGGUUUAAUCUAUACAAAGGUAUAUAUAUAAAUAUAUAUAUAAAAUAAACAUAAAU
rnacentral:lncRNA from 1 species